rnacentral:rRNA from 1 species
AGAGUUGAUCCUGGCUCAGGACGAACGCUGGCGGCGUGCGUAACACAUGCAAGUCGAACGAGAGAGAGAGAGAAGCUUGCUUUUCUUACGAUCGAGUGGCAAACGGGUGAGUAACGCGUAAACAACCUGCCCCGCAGAUGGGGACAACAGCUGGAAACGGCUGCUAAUACCGAAUACGCUCCUCUUAGCGCAUGGUAAGAGGAAGAAAGGGUGGCCUCUGGAACAAGCUACCGCUGCGGGAGGGGUUUGCGUCUGAUUAGCUGGUUGGAGGGGUAACGGCCCACCAAGGCGACGAUCAGUAGCCGGUCUGAGAGGAUGAACGGCCACAUUGGAACUGAGACACGGUCCAGACUCCUACGGGAGGCAGCAGUGGGGAAUCUUCCGCAAUGGGCGAAAGCCUGACGGAGCAACGCCGCGUGAGUGAAGACGGCCUUCGGGUUGUAAAGCUCUGUUAUAGGGGACGAACGGCCGGGUAGCGAAGAGGUAGCCGGCAUGACGGUACCGUAAGAGAAAGCCACGGCUAACUACGUGCCAGCAGCCGCGGUAAUACGUAGGUGGCAAGCGUUGUCCGGAAUGAUUGGGCGUAAAGGGCGCGCAGG